rnacentral:rRNA from 1 species
UACGUAGGGGGCUAGCGUUGUCCGGAUUUAUUGGGCGUAAAGCGCGUGUAGGCGGCCAGAUAGGUCUGCUGUGAAAACUCGAGGCUCAACCCCGAGACGUCGAUGGAAACCAUCUAGCUAGAGUCCGGAAGAGGAGAGUGGAAUUCCUGGUGUAGCGGUGAAAUGCGCAGAUAUCAGGAAGAACACCCGUGGCGAAGGCGGCUCUCUGGUACGUGACUGACGCUGAGACGCGAAAGCGUGGGGAGCGAACAGG